rnacentral:rRNA from 1 species
GACGAACGCUGGCGGCGUGCCUAAUACAUGCAAGUAGAACGCAGUUGCGAACGGGUGAGUAACGCGUAGGUAACUGCCUCAUAGCGGGGGAUAACUAUUGGAAACGAUAGCUAAUACCGCAUACUGUGAGAUGGACCUGCGUUGUAUUAGCUAGGUGGGGAGGUAAAGGCUCACCAAGGCGACGAUACAUAGCCGACCUGAGAGGGUGAUAUACCCCCCUGGGACUGAGACACGGCCCAGACUCCUACUCAAUACAACAUUAAUAACUCUUCUUGAAUUGACGGAAGUCUGACCAAUCAACGCCGCGUGAGUGAAGAAUUUUUUCGGAUCCUAAAUCUCUGUUGUUAGAGAAGGGGUAACUAACCAGAAAUGGACGGCUAACUACGUGCCAGCCGCCGCGGUAAUUC